rnacentral:rRNA from 1 species
UACGUAGGGUCCAAGCGUUAUCCGGAAUCACUGGGCGUAAAGCGUGCGUAGGCGGUCUGUUAAGUGAGAUGUGAAAUCGUGUGGCUCAACCAUAUCGUUGUGUCUCAUACUGGCAGACUAGAGGAUAGCAGAGGCAAGUGGAAUUACGAGUGUAGCAGUGAAAUGCGUAGAGAUUCGUAGAAACACCAAUGGCGAAGGCAGCUUGCUGGGCUAUAUCUGACGCUCAGGCACGAAAGCGUGGGGAGCGAACAGG